rnacentral:rRNA from 1 species
AGUGAACGCUGGCGGUAGGCCUAACACAUGCAAGUCGAGCGGCAGCACAGUAAGAGCUUGCUCUUACGGGUGGCGAGUGGCGGACGGGUGAGGAAUACAUCGGAAUCUACUUUUUCGUGGGGGAUAACGUAGGGAAACUUACGCUAAUACCGCAUACGACCUACGGGUGAAAGCAGGGGAUCUUCGGACCUUGCGCGAUUGAAUGAGCCGAUGUCGGAUUAGCUAGUUGGCGGGGUAAAGGCCCACCAAGGCGACGAUCCGUAGCUGGUCUGAGAGGAUGAUCAGCCACACUGGAACUGAGACACGGUCCAGACUCCUACGGGAGGCAGCAGUGGGGAAUAUUGGACAAUGGGCGCAAGCCUGAUCCAGCCAUACCGCGUGGGUGCAGAAGGCCUCUCGGUUGUUAAGCCCCUUUGUUGCGAACGAAAGGCUGCACGUUAAUCCCCCGCUGUUCUGACGGUACCCCAAGAAGAAUCACCGGCUAACCUCGUG